GAAAACUCACCCGUCCGGACACCGGUAGGAUUGACAGAUCGAUAGCUCUUUCUUGAUUCGGUGGGUGGUGGUGCAUGGCCGUUCUUAGUUGGUGGAGCGAUCCGUCUGGUUGAUUCCGAUAACGAACGAGACUCCGGCCUGCUAACUAGUGCGCCGAUGUGUGUGUUUAUUCAACGGCGGUCUCGGCGUUCAUCGCAGCGCCCGGGUCCGGGUCGGUUUUCUCACGCACUUCUUAGAGGGACGGGUGGCAGAAAGCCACACGAGGCGGAGCGAUAACAGGUCUGUGAUGCCCUUAGAUGUCCGGGGCCGCACGCGCGCUACACUGGAGGUAUCAGCGGGGACUUCGCCCCGGCCCGAGAGAGGUCGGGAAACCUCUUAACCACUUCCCGUGAUAGGGAUCGGGGCCUGUAACCAACACCGUGAACGAGGAAUUCCCGGUAGGCGCGGGUCAACAGCCCGCGUCGAUCACGUCCCUGCCCUUUGUACACACCGCCCGUCGCUACUACCGAUCGAACGGUCCGGUGAGGUCCUCGGAUCUGGCCGACGAUUCCGCCAGGCAGCGUGCACGUGGCGCAGCGGCUGCGGUCUCCGCCGCCGUUUCACGCGCGUGUCGUACUCGCCUCGGCGCUCGAUGCCUGGGGAAGACGACCGAACCCGAUCGGUUAGAGGAAGUAAAAG